GUCUCACAAUAGUGUCUGAUAGGCCACUGUGCUGAUCUCUUGGAACAAGAAGUGUGAGACCAUGUGGAAUCCCAAGAUUAUAGUCCUCCCUCUCUGUGAUCAAGGUGUACUCACCCAGGUGGUGAAGGUCUUCUUUGCUGAAAGACCAGGGACCAAAUGCAGGGGCAAGAGAGUUACACAAGAUGAAGCUGGCUCACUUCCGAAAGCUUUCU